GCUGGGACUCGCAGGGGCUGUCCCCCAACUCACAGCGCUCACCAGAAAACAGCCCGGGGCAGAUGCACGUGUAACCUGCAGAGAUAACACACAUGUAAGGAAAGAACUGAAUCCUCAUCAGGUUUGGAAGCAGGCCUUCAAGCAACCUCACGCUCAGGGUUUAAAGAAGAGACCUCCAGCAACUGGCCAGGAGAUAAGAUCAUCUCACCAGCUUCUUAAAGGACUGACAAACAUAUCACUCUUCACAUGCAAAUUAUCUGACUGUAGAGUGAGAUGGAUAGGGGAUGACUCACACCUGAAAGAGCUUUUUUCGUCUAAGAUGGGAAUUAAAGCAUUGACUUAGA